rnacentral:rRNA from 1 species
CAGCCCUAAACGAUGCGCGUUAGGUGUAUCGGUGACCACGAGUCACCGAGGUGCCGAAGGGAAACCGUGAAACGUGCCGCCUGGGAAGUACGGUCGCAAGGCUGAAACUUAAAGGAAUUGGCGGGGGAGCACCGCAACGGGAGGAGCGUGCGGUUCAAUUGGAUUCAACGCCGAAAAACUCACCAGGAGCGACGGAUAUAUGAAGGUCAAGCUGAUGACUUUACCUGAUUUUCCGAGAGGAGGUGCAUGGCGUAGUCGUGU